ACGAACGCUGGCGGCGCGCUUAAGCUUAUGCAAGUCGUGCGGUUAAAGCUCCCUUCGGGGAGUGUAUAAAGCGGCGAACGGGUGAGUAACACGUGGGUAACCUACCCUCCGCGUGGGGAAUAACCCGCCGAAAGGCGGGCUAAUACCGCGUACGGUCCCCAGACGACAUCGGCUGGGGAAGAAAGCCGGCCUCUGCUUGCAUGCCGGCGCCGGAGGAUGGGCCCGCGCGCUAUUAGCUUGCUGGUGGGGUAACGGCCUACCAGGGCAAUGAUGGCUAGCCGGCCUUAGCGGGUGUACGGCCACACUGGAACUGAGACAAUGUCCAGUCCCCUACGGGAGGCGCAGGCGGGAAUUGUUCACAAUGGGCGCAAGCCUGAUGACGCGACGUCGCGUGAGGGAAGACGGCCUUCGGGUUGUAAACCUCUGCCGGGAGAGAAGAAAGGCGAGCGGUUAAUAGCCGCUCGAGCUGACGUUAUCUCCCAAGAAAGCCACGGCUAACUACGUGCCAGCAGCCGCGGUAAUACGUAGGUGGCAAACGUUGUCCGAAAUUACUGGGCGUAAAGGGCGAGUAGGCGGUUCGAUAAGUCGGAUGUGAAAUCCUACGGCUCAACCGUAGAACUGCAUUCGAUACUGUCGUACUUGAGUACUGGAGAGGAAAGCGGAACUUAUGGUGUAGCGGUAAAAUGCGUAGAUAUCAUAAGGAACACCGGUGGCGAAGGCGGCUUUCUGGCCAGAUACUGACGCUGAGACGCGAAAGCCAGGGUAGCAAACGGGAUUAGAUACCCCGGUAGUCCUGGCCGUAAACGAUGGGCACUAGGUGUGGGAAGCAUUGACCCUUUCCGUGCCGCAGCUAACGCAUUAAGUGCCCCGCCUGGGAAGUACGAUCGCAAGGUUGAAACUCAAAGGAAUUGACGGG
rnacentral:rRNA from 1 species